UACGAAGGGGGCUAGCGUUGCUCGGAAUCACUGGGCGUAAAGCGCACGUAGGCGGCUUCUUAAGUCAGGGGUGAAAUCCUGGAGCUCAACUCCAGAACUGCCCUUGAUACUGAGAGGCUCGAGUCCGGGAGAGGUGAGUGGAACUCCGAGUGUAGAGGUGAAAUUCGUAGAUAUUCGGAAGAACACCAGUGGCGAAGGCGGCUCACUGGCCCGGUACUGACGCUGAGGUGCGAAAGCGUGGGGAGCAAACAGGG
rnacentral:rRNA from 1 species